AUUAUAAGGCAGUUCAUAGAUGCUGCUGCUGCUGCUGCUAGCAUUUCAUCUGCUGAGAAUCACACUCAGUAGCAACAGCCGUCCAAGAUACAGCCCUGCGGGGCUUUGAGUGUUAACGUUGGGUGCAUAGUGAUGAGGCUUUUUUAAAGCCUUGAAACGGGGCCAACUGGUAAUACCUAAGGAACAUUUCCUGGCAAACAGAAAAAGCUCUCUUGGUCUUUAAAGUUCAUGACAGAUUCCCUAAGUGUUUGUAAAACAUCUGCCAACCACACUGAUGGGCUCUCACACAAAGGUUUUGGAAAUACAGACUGAUUUCCUUUGGUUACUAAAACUGAUUUUUUUUUUUUUUUUUGGUUACUACAAUUGAUUUUAUCUCUAUAAUUUUCUUCUCUGUCAUCUUAUUUUAAACAAAAACCGUGGCACAAAAAUAAAGUGAUGGUUUUUGAGGA
rnacentral:lncRNA from 1 species